rnacentral:lncRNA from 1 species
AUGCCUACGAGCGCCUCCUGCUGGACGUGGUGUGCGGGAACCAAAUGCACUUCGUGCGCAGGUGGGGGCGGGGGGGGUUGGGGUGGGGGCUCUGUGGGGUCUGGGGGGGGUCCUAUGGGUCUGGGGGGUCCCUGUGUGUCCCUAUGGGGUCUCAAUGGGGUCCCUGUGUCCCUAUGUGUCCCUGUGGGGUCCCUAUGGGGUCUCUGUGUGUCCCUCUGUCCCUGUGUCCCUAUGGGGUCUCAAUGGGGUCCCCGUGUGUCCCUAUGGGUCCCAAUGGGGUCCCAAUGGGGUCCCUAUGGGGUCUCUAUGUGUCCCUGUGUGUCCCUCUGUCCCCGUGUGUCCCUAUGGGGUCCCCAUGUGUCCCUGUGUCCCUGUGGGGUCUCAAUGGCAUCCCUGUGUCCCUGUGUGUCCCUAUGGGGUCCCUGUGUCCCUAUGGGGUCCCUAUGGGAUCUCUAUGGGGUC